GGGUGAUUAGCUCAGCUGGUUUAGAGCAUCUGCCUUACAAGCAGAGGGUCGGCGGUUCGAAUCCGUCAUUACCCA
rnacentral:tRNA from 2 species